AACGAACGCUGGCGGCAGGCCUAACACAUGCAAGUCGAACGCCCUAGCAAUAGGGAGUGGCAGACGGGUGAGUAACACGUGGGAACCUUCCCUAUAGUACGGAAUAGCCCAGGGAAACUUGGAGUAAUACCGUAUACGCCCGAGAGGGGAAAGAUUUAUCGCUAUAGGAUGGGCCCGCGUAGGAUUAGCUAGUUGGUGAGGUAAUGGCUCACCAAGGCGACGAUCCUUAGCUGGUCUGAGAGGACGACCAGCCACACUGGGACUGAGACACGGCCCAGACUCCUACGGGAGGCAGCAGUGGGGAAUAUUGGACAAUGGGCGCAAGCUUGAUCCAGCCAUGCCGCGUGAGUGAUGAAGGCCUUAGGGUUGUAAAGCUCUUUUGUCGGGGACGAUAAUGACGGUACCCGAAGAAUAAGUCCCGGCUAACUUCGUGCCAGCCGCCGCAGUAA
rnacentral:rRNA from 1 species